UGCCCACUUCUCUUCAAGGGUUGUACCUUGAGAGUCUUGAUGGUUUGAAGUGUUUGGGAAUGGAAGGAAAAGGGCUUCAACAUCUCACAUCUCUCCAGUCUCUCACCCUAUGGCGUUUAGAUGAAUUGAAGUCGUGGGAAGGGAAUGGGCUUCAACAUCUCACUUCUCUCCGAAUGCUUCGGAUUGAUGGUUGUGGAAGCCUUGAGUCUUUGCCAGAAGAUCACUUGCCAUCCUCUCUUGAAUUAUUGGAGAUAUACAGAUGUCCUUUACUAGAAGAAAGGUAUCAAAAUCAGAAAGGGAAAUAUUGGUCUAAGAUUGCCCACAUUCCUGCCAUCGAGAUAAAGGAUGAAGUGAUAAUAUGAGUGGUUGGAUGACUAGGAAUCAUCGAAAAGUUGGUAGCUGAGGUGGCAAGCUAGUAAUAUUUGUUGAUUGUGAAGGUUCGAGCUUGUUCUAUUGGUUGCAUUCUUGUAUCUAGUUCAAUCUCAUUGUCACGUUGGUUGUCUUUCAAUCAUCUUAAUCAAAUUCUACAAAUUCCCUCAUUAACAUUUGUAAUUGGUCAAACUAAAUUUGUGGUUUGUUGAUGUUAAUGUACUGUUAGUUGGUUUUCUUUCACUGAACUAUCUUUCUAAAACUUCAAUAUAUUGGAUUAGGAUUGCGAUAUUGGUGUUGAAUCAUCCAAGUUUAUUCAAAUUAGAAAUUGAAAUUUGUGUUGAAUCAUUUGAUAAUGGUUUGUUAGCAGUGUAUUCUUGUAAUAAAAUAUUGGUAUGUAAACUUUAUUCUAUUGCUCCAAGUUGAAUAUUUAUAAUUUACGAUAGAUAUGUUCUUUU